GUAGGUGGCAAGCGUUGUCCGGAAUUAUUGGGCGUAAAGCGCGCGCAGGCGGUUCUUUAAGUCUGAUGUGAAAGCCCACGGCUCAACCGUGGAGGGUCAUUGGAAACUGGAGAACUUGAGUACAGAAGAGGAAAGCGGAAUUCCACGUGUAGCGGUGAAAUGCGUAGAGAUGUGGAGGAACACCAGUGGCGAAGGCGGCUUUCUGGUCUGUAACUGACGCUGAGGCGCGAAAGCGUGGGGGGAGCAAACAGGAUUAGAUACCCUGGUAGUCCACGCCGUAAACGAUGAGUGCUAAGUGUUAGGGGGUUUCCGUCCCCGUUAGUGCUGCAGCUAACGCAUUAAGCACUCCGCCUGGGAGUACGGCCGCAAGGCUG
rnacentral:rRNA from 1 species